UCUGUAGGUGAACCUGCGGAGGGAUCAUUACACAAUAUGACAGCGGGCUGGCGUCCUUCGGGGUUACAGCCUUGCUGAAUUAUUCACCCGUGUCUUUUGCGUACUUCUUGUUUCCUUGGUGGGUUCGCCCACCAUAGGACAAACCAUAAACCUUUUGUAAUUGCAAUCAGCGUCUGUAAAAAAAUUAAUAAUUACAACUUUUAACAACGGAUCUCUUGGUUCUGGCAUCGAAGAAGAACGCAGCGAAAUGCGAUAAGUAGUGUGAAUUGCAGAAUUCAGUGAAUCUUCGAAUCUUUGAACGCACAUAGCGCCCUUUGGUAUUCCAAAGGGCAUGCCUGUUCGAGCGUCAUUUGUACCCUCAAGCUUUGCUUGGUGUUGGGCGUCUUGUCUCCAGUUCGCUGGAGACUCGCCUUAAAGUAAUUGGCAGCCGGCCUACUGGUUUGGGAGCGCAGCACAAGCCGCGCUCUCUUCCAGCCAAGGUCAGCAUCCACAAAGCCUUUUUUCAACUUUUGACCUCGGAUCAGGUAGGGAUACCCGCUCAACUUAA
rnacentral:sRNA from 1 species